rfam:Gossypium hirsutum cultivar TM-1 unplaced genomic scaffold scaffold2312.1, whole genome shotgun sequence
UGUUAAAAUUUUCAUUCAUUUCUACAGUUAAAAACUGGCAUGACUAAUAGAAUAACCGAAUAAUGACAUGUGGCGUGCCAUUGUACUUUAUUUUGACAUACAGGACCAGUUUUUAGUAGUAGAAAUUGAUGAAAUUUUUAACA